ensembl:lncRNA
CCGGAAGUGGUCAUCAGCAAGCGUGGAGCCAAACGACAAGAAGAUUCUCAGAGGGCGGAGCCAGAGAGCAGUGAUUGGUCAGACUGACUGAGAGCCAGAGAGCAGUGAUUGGUCAGACCGUAGAUAAUAUAGAAGACAGCUCGCUAGCGGAUCUAGUCUGCUAUAUAUCUAUGGUUAGCACGUCUGGUAGCAUCUCUGACUGCUGUUGAUCUUGUUUUUGGAGUAAAACACGGUGGAAGCUGAAUUAGUGAGGAUGACUCCUGCUCCUGUCAUCUCUAAGCUCCUCACACAUCUUUACCUGCACAUGAGGAAAAUCACUCCUGUAGAAUGCAGAUGUUCAGAGGGAGAUGAUGCCACAUCUGGUCCAGCAGAUGGAAGGUCUUGAAGUUCUCUGACUGGCCUCGACUGAAGAUGGUCGUCUCACUGGAUUUAAGGUUCAGAUGCUCAGUAACAAACUCCACCAAUGAGCCAACAGGGAAGCUUUAGGUUUAUUAAAUGUUGCUAUGAAGGUUUCGCUGUUUUUCUUUGUGAAUGCAAUGAGCUCCAACUGAAACUUGAAUUAGAACUUAGAAGUAAAUCCUUCCAUCUGAAAGGAUUUAGUUGCAUUAAUAACCUCAUAACAUUCUAAUUCUUAUUCCAGUCUUGGUUGGAAAUAGAAUCUCUGUAUUGAUUCAGGUAAAAACUGAACUUCACAGCAUGUUGGAGCAAAACAACCAGAUGAAAACUGUGAUGGUGUUGGAUUGUCAGACCGUAAUGUUGCAGCUCAAAGCAGCUUUUCUAGCUCAGUUCAUUCUGACAUUCAGCUAUGAAUCAACACAGCAGAUGGUGAUCCAUGCUGUGGAAAUCUCACAUCUCCUGAUUUAAUGGGGCUGCUUUGCACUUUUUACGCUGUUUAUUCACCAACACUUUAUUUAAUAAAAGUCCCAUCUAGUUUUUAUGAGGAAUGUGAUGUUUUAAUUUCUCUUUAAUUUCUCUGAAUAACUGCAGUCUAAUGCAACAGCUGGAAUUGUAACAUCUGUCCUGAUAUUGAGCAUGAAGUAUUGAUCAGAAUACUUAUGGUUAGCAGUCAUCCCUGAAGUUUUACAUUCAAAUCUUUACUUGUGUUGUGAACUUUGGUAAGAAGCAGAAACUUUAGCGUUGCCAUGGAUACAUGAGUGUUAAAUUCUGUCCAUGUUUCCAUUUUGGGAAAUUCAGUCCAGCAGAUGAGUUUGUUUUUACUGCCAGCUACCAUUCAGUCUGAGAUAUUAAGAAUAAAUAAAUAAAUAAAUGUGCAUAAUGUGGAAAUGAACAGAUUUUAUUUUUAUUUAUUCCUACAGCAUGUAAAGUUCCAGAAUGUGGAGGAAUUUAGUCUCACAAUCACAGACAAUAAAUAUUAUCUGAAAGUCGGGUUAUUAUUGUUUAUCAGCACAAUACAAAAAGAUUCAUGUUAGAAAUAUUCCAGUUAAGACUCUAGAAUAUCAUGAUUUAUGUAAAUUUACCUCAAUAAUAUGAAUGUUCAGGUUAAGAUUGUGCAGUGAUAUUUAUUAUGUAAGUUUAGCUGAUUAAAGUUUAUGACGCUGCACUACAAUAUUUAUUAUUUAAAUUUACAUCAUUAUUAUAAUAUUUAGGCUCAGACCCUACAGUACUGAGAUUAAGAAAUCAAAUAUUCUAUAAAAUCUAAAUACACUGAACUCAUUUGGAUAUAUUUAAGUGAGACUCUACAAUAUUAUUUAUGACACAAAUCUAUCUAAAUCAAAAUUUUAAUCAUUUUUACUCCAAACAUUUACUGGACUGAUUUAAAUAUUAAAAUCACUCCUUUCUAAUCCUCUGCUGUAUGUUCAAACCUGAGGCCUUAAAUAGAAACACACAAGUAUCUGAUUGAAGGAACUUCUGCAGAGUCCUGGUUCCACAACAUGAUGAUAGAAUUAUAGACAAACUUUAACAAAAGCUGCCUGAGAGUUUACAGCUUUUUAUGUUAGAUUUCUUCAGUAAUUUAAUGAGAGUUAUCAGCAAAAAUCAGGUGUUCAUUUGAUGAACUUCAUUUCCUAAAACAUCCAGAAUUGGAGCUCAUAUCUUUGGCAGCUGUAAAGUUUCUGCUCCUUCAAAGUUCACAACACAAUGAAUGAAUUCCUAAAACACUCUCAAUGCUGGAGAGCGUUUGAUGCUGAAGCAGUGACCAGUUUUUCUGUUUCUUCUCUGGAGAUGCACAAUGAGGGACAUCUGCAGAGACUGAGAAAGAGUCUCACCACAUCCUGACAUGAGGAAAAAGACUUUAUUGAAGACUACAAUGAGAAAAACUAUCAGACAGCAGACGGCUGCAUUCAAGGUGAGAUCUGAACAUUUGAUCUGGAACAGGAAUUCAAUAACGGCAGCAUGAGCUUCAUUUCAGUCUGUAGCUGCUGAAUUCAUGGAUGAAUCAUCUGGCACUAGAGAGGAAGACCAUCAAACAUCCACGUCAGCUGAUGGAGGUCCAAGAGUCUCACCCAACAAACAACCUACAGAGUGAAGACCUCCAAUCUGAUUGGACGGCCUCCUAUUCAGCCACAUAUAAGACAAGUACAAGAUUCUUCAGAGCUGUUCUACCACGAGCCUGACAGGAAGAACUCCAACAGCUACUGAAUGUUCCUGUGGUUCCCUCAAGGCUACAGGAGGAGCCCUACGAGGACGAGCUGGUCCACCUGAUGGUGGCCAGUCGCUGCGGUUCAAAGCCAACACCGACUACGUGGACUUCUACUGGACCACACGGAGGCCUUCAAACCGGACCAACAAGUUCAGCGACUCCCCGACUCGUGGGUCUGAGGACACUGCCGAGCCUCGGUCCAGCCGGCCUCCUGUCUGUGGGUGUUUGAGUGCUGAGAGGUUUGUGGAUGCAUGUGAACGUUCUGUGUUGAAACAGCAGCUUUGGACUCAGUAACGCCGGGAAAAACCAAGAGCUCCUUUAUUUGUGACUUCCACUAAAAAAACUGAAGAAAAUAAGUUUGCCAGGGUUCUGACUGAUAACAGAUUAUUAAAUAAUGAAAGUAAUCCUUUAAAUAUUCCUUUAAACAAUCCUUUUAGGUCUACAUUUCCUUUACACUGACUUCUUGUUAUAUGUACAAGUAUUUUGGGUGGAAUAUACCAUUAAGCCCAAUGUUCAAGGGUUCUUCUGGGAAUAUACCAUUAAACCAACCUUUUAGGUAAAUGUUCCAGGAUGUUGGGUAGAAUAUACCAUCAGAUCAACCUUUUAGGUCUACAUUGGAAGAUUUUAGAGUAGAAUAUUACUCCAAACCAUCCUUUAGGUCUACAUUUAAGGUGGAAUAUUCCUUUACACCAAGAUUUUUUGGUCUACAUUGAAGGAUUUUAGGUGGAAUAUUCCUUUGAAUGAACUUUUUAAGUUUAUGUUCAAGGAUGUUGGGUGGAAUAUACCAUCAGACCAACCUCCAAGGUCUACAGUAGUGGAUUUUAGGUGGAAUAUACCAUUAAACUCACCUUUUAGGUUUACAUUGGAGGAUUUUAGGUGGAAUAUUCCUUUUAACCAGCCCCUCAGGUCUCUUUGAGGAUUUUGGAUGGAAUACUCAGUUAAAGCAACAUUUUAGGUGCAUGUCCAAGGAUUUUUGGUGGAAUGUUCCUUUAAGGUGGAUGUUUGAGGACCUUGUAGGUGGAAUACUUCCUGAAACCAACCUUUUAGGUCAACAUUCAAAGAUUUAAGGUGGAAUAUUCCUUUAAACCAACCUGAAUUUCAUGUUUUCAUCAUUAUCAAGUGAGAAACCUCAAUCCAGACUCCUCAUAAUGACAUUUGAGAUUUAUGCUGCUGUUAUUUGUUUAGUCCAGACUAAAUGACAGAAAUCCACAACUGUAAUUUUAUUUCAGGACUCGGUUAUUAAAUGUCAAAACAAUCCAUGUGACUCUAAAAACUCAACAGCUUUAUAAACUCUAAGAUUAAACUCUCCACAAGGAUCCAAAAUAAGUUGGACUUCUACAUGAGAGCUUUAAUUAUUCUUCAUCUACUUCCUGAAAAGUUUGGUCAAUAAAAAAGACAAAAACUAAUAUUUUCAGCUGAACUAAAGACAGACUUUGUGAUUUUUCUGCUCACAUGUUGUGUUGUUGUAAACUUCCUCUUUCAAAUAAAUAGCCUCCUAACCCCCUGGAAACCAGCGUUUGUCCUGUUUUUGUGUUGCUCCUCGGUGACCCUAGACAGCCGGGUCCUAAUGUUUUUUGAGCAACACACCAUACUAUGACGU